GAUCUGGUGCCACAGGUGGAGUCUCCGACAUGGCUUGGACCCCUUUUUUCCUUGUGCUCCUGGCUCACUGCACAGGUUCCCUGUCUCAGCCGGUGCUGACCCAGCCACCCUCCCUCUCUGCAUCUCUGGGAACUUCUGUGAGACUUACCUGUACCCUGAGCAGUGGCUUCAGAGUUGGUGAUUUCUGGAUAAACUGGUACCAGCAGAAUCCAGGGAACCCUCCCCGGUAUCUCCUGUACUACCACUCAGACUCAGAUAAACACCAGGGCUCCGGGGUCCCCAGCCGCUUCUCUGGAUCCAGUGAUGCCUCGGCCAAUGCAGGGCUUCUGCUCAUCUCUGGGCUGCAGCCUGAGGAUGAGGCUGACUAUUACUGUAGCACAUGGCAUGGCAACUCUAAGUCUAUUGUGUUCGGCGGAGGGACCCAUCUGACCGUCCUCGGUCAGCCCAAGUCGGCCCCCUCGGUCACACUCUUCCCACCCUCCAGUGAGGAGCUCAGUGCCAACAAGGCCACCCUGGUGUGCCUCAUCAGUGACUUCUACCCCAGUGGCUUGACGGUGGCCUGGAAGGCAGAUGGCACCCCUGUCACCCAGGGUGUGGAGACCACCAAGCCCUCCAAACAGAGCAACAACAAGUACGCGGCCAGCAGCUACCUGAGCCUAUCACCUGACCAGUGGAAAUCUAGAAGCAGCUACACCUGCCAGGUCACGCAUGAGGGGAGCACUGUGGAGAAGAGAGUGGUCCCUGCAGAGUGCUCUUAGGUGCCUGAGACCCACACCCACCCAAGGGGAUGUGCAGCCAUUGAACCUCCAGGAAGGAUUCCCCUUGUACCAAGACCAUCCCAGCCCUUCUCUCAGCACCCAAUAAUUGCUCAAUAAAAUGUCUCUUACUCAAUCAGAAA